UGAGUAACACGUGGGUGAUCUGCCCUGCACUUUGGGAUAAGCCUGGGAAACUGGGUCUAAUACCGAAUACUUCCUACUGGUUGCAUGGCUGGUAGGGGAAAGCUUUUGCGGUGUGGGAUGAGCCCGCGGCCUAUCAGCUUGUUGGUGGGGUGAUGGCCUACCAAGGCGACGACGGGUAGCCGGCCUGAGAGGGUGUCCGGCCACACUGGGACUGAGAUACGGCCCAGACUCCUACGGGAGGCAGCAGUGGGGAAUAUUGCACAAUGGGCGCAAGCCUGAUGCAGCGACGCCGCGUGGGGGAUGACGGCCUUCGGGUUGUAAACCUCUUUCAGUACCGACGAAGCGUAAGUGACGGUAGGUACAGAAGAAGCACCGGCCAACUACGUGCCAGCAGCCGCGGUAAUACGUAGGGUGCGAGCGUUGUCCGGAAUUACUGGGCGUAAAGAGCUCGUAGGUGGUUUGUCGCGUUGUCCGUGAAAACUCACAGCUUAACUGUGGGCGUGCGGGCGAUACGGGCAGACUGGAGUACUGCAGGGGAGACUGGAAUUCCUGGUGUAGCGGUGGAAUGCGCAGAUAUCAGGAGGAACACCGGUGGCGAAGGCGGGUCUCUGGGCAGUAACUGACGCUGAGGAGCGAAAGCGUGGGGAGCGAACAGGAUUAGAUACCCUGGUAGUCCACGCCGUAAACGGUGGGUACUAGGUGUGGGUUUCCUUCCUUGGGAUCCGUGCCGUAGCUAACGCAUUAAGUACCCCGCCUGGGGAGUACGGGCCGCAAGGCUAAAACUCAAAAGGAAUUGACGGGGGGCCCGCACAA
rnacentral:rRNA from 1 species